rnacentral:rRNA from 1 species
GAUGAACGCUGGCGGCGUGCCUAAUACAUGCAAGUCGAGCGAACAGACGAGGAGCUUGCUCCUCUGACGUUAGCGGCGGACGGGUGAGUAACACGUGGAUAACCUACCUAUAAGACUGGGAUAACUUCGGGAAACCGGAGCUAAUACCGGAUAAUAUAUUGAACCGCAUGGUUCAAUAGUGAAAGACGGUUUUGCUGUCACUUAUAGAUGGAUCCGCGCCGCAUUAGCUAGUUGGUAAGGUAACGGCUUACCAAGGCAACGAUGCGUAGCCGACCUGAGAGGGGGGUCGGGCCACCUGGAAACUGACCCGGGUUCAGGACCCCUAGGGGGGGCAGGUGUGGGGAGUUUGCGGAGAGGGGCGAAGGCUGGAGGGACAAACGCGGGGGGGGGAAGAAGGUUCUGGGGUCCGAAAAACUCUUUUAUUGGGAAAAAAAAAAUGUGAAAGAAACUAGCCACGUUUGGGGGGUCCUAAACAAAAAGCCCCCGCCAACCAACG